UGCCGGGUCGUCUAACGGUAGGACGCAUGGCUCUGGACCAUGUAGUGGAGGUUCGAAUCCUUCCCCGGCAGCCA
rnacentral:tRNA from 1 species